rnacentral:rRNA from 1 species
AGAUUAAGUUAUUAAGGGCGCACGGUGGAUGCCUUGGCACUAGAAGCCGAUGAAGGACGUUACUAACGACGAUAUGCUUUGGGGAGCUGUAAGUAAGCUUUGAUCCAGAGAUUUCCGAAUGGGGAAACCCAGCAUGAGUUAUGUCAUGUUAUCGAUAUGUGAAUACAUAGCAUAUCAGAAGGCACACCCGGAGAACUGAAACAUCUUAGUACCCGGAGGAAGAGAAAGAAAAUUCGAUUCCCUUAGUAGCGGCGAGCGAAACGGGAAGAGCCCAAACCAACAAGCUUGCUUGUUGGGGUUGUAGGACACUCUAUACGGAGUUACAAAGGACGACAUUAGACGAAUCAUCUGGAAAGAUGAAUCAAAGAAGGUAAUAAUCCUGUAGUCGAAAAUGUUGUCUCUCUUGAGUGGAUCCUGAGUACGACGGAGCACGUGAAAUUCCGUCGGAAUCUGGGAGGACCAUCUCCUAAGGCUAAAUACUCUCUAGUGACCGAUAGUGAACCAGUACCGUGAGGGAAAGGUGAAAAGCACCCCGGAAGGGGAGUGAAAUAGAACCUGAAACCGUGUGCUUACAAGUAGUCAGAGCCCGUUAAUGGGUGAUGGCGUGCCUUUUGUAGAAUGAACCGGCGAGUUACGAUUUGAUGCAAGGUUAAGCAGUAAAUGUGGAGCCGUAGCGAAAGCGAGUCUGAAUAGGGCGUUUAGUAUUUGGUCGUAGACCCGAAACCAGGUGAUCUACCCUUGGUCAGGUUGAAGUUCAGGUAACACUGAAUGGAGGACCGAACCGACUUACGUUGAAAAGUGAGCGGAUGAACUGAGGGUAGCGGAGAAAUUCCAAUCGAACCUGGAGAUAGCUGGUUCUCUCCGAAAUAGCUUUAGGGCUAGCCUCAAGUGAUGAUUAUUGGAGGUAGAGCACUGUUUGGACGAGGGGCCCCUCUCGGGUUACCGAAUUCAGACAAACUCCGAAUGCCAAUUAAUUUAACUUGGGAGUCAGAACAUGGGUGAUAAGGUCCGUGUUCGAAAGGGAAACAGCCCAGACCACCAGCUAAGGUCCCAAAAUAUAUGUUAAGUGGAAAAGGAUGUGGCGUUGCCCAGACAACUAGGAUGUUG